rnacentral:rRNA from 1 species
CCCUUAGAUGUUCUGGGCCGCACGCGCGCUACACUGAUGCAUUCAACGAGUCUAAAACCUGCUCUGAUAGGGGUGGGUAAUUUUUUGAAUGUGCAUCGUGAUUGGGAUGGAUGAUUGCAAUUUUUCAUCUUCAACGAGGAAUGCCUAGUAAACGCAAGUCAUCAGCUUGCAUUGAUUACGUCCCUGCCCUUUGUACACACCGCCCGUCGCUCCUACCGAUUGAAUGAUCCGAUGAAUAUCAUGGAUUGAGGAUGCAAGUAGGUUCGCCUAUCUUCAUCUUCGAGAAGUGAAGUAAAUCUUAUCAUUUAGAGGAAGGAGAAGUCGUAACA